rnacentral:misc_RNA from 1 species
AAGGAGUCGUAUUCGUAUGCGAGUGUUCGGGUGUAAAACCCCAACGCGUAAUGAAAGUGAAUGCAGGUGAGAGCUUCGGAGCAUCACAGACAGAUACUGAUAUUCUCGGAUGGAUUUGAGUAAGAGCAUAUGUGUCCGGACCCGAAAGAAGGUGAACUAUGCCUGUAUAGGGUGAAGCCAGAGGAAACUCUGGUGGAGGCUCGCAGCGGUUCUGACGUGCAAAUCGAUCGUCAAAUAUGGGCAUGGGGGCGAAAGACUAAUCGAACCUUCUAGUAGCUGGUUUCCUC